CCGCCCCGCCCCGGAGCCGCCCGCGCUGGGCCAGGCGCGCUGGGCAGCCGAGGGGAGGGGGUCCCCGAUCUGGUCCACCCGUCCGGGCAGACCGAGCUGGAAGGUUCGCGACUUAUGGGCUCGUCCCGGGGCGGACCCCGCGCAGGCUUGGGAACGUGCAUGCGAGGGUGCGUGUGUUAGGAGUGUAGGGGUCUGGACCACUGAGCUCUCUGGACGGGACCCACACGCGGGUCCCGAGCCCCCAACCGGGCUCCUAGCAUGUGGGGAGAGAGCCAAGGUGAAGGAGCCUGUGCCAGGUUGCAUGCCCAGGAGGCGCCCCCAGCCUGCGCAGAGCCAGCUGCCAGCUGCCUUCCCUCCGGGAGCUGACAGUCUAGACUUGCGCAACCACCAGGGCCAUUAUUAGAAAGAAACCCUUCAGGCGCGGGUUGAUCAGGGAGACCAGGCCAGGGACAAGGAUACAGGUAGGACUCUGCCUCCCUGCACCAUAACUGCAGAGAUGAAAGAGUAUUCUCUAUCCGGCCAGCAGUGAAAGGGGUGAAGUGGGAAGACUCAGAAAGCUUUGCUUUGUGCAGUGGGGGCUAGAAGAGAAAGUGGAAGAAAGGGGAAAUCCCCAUAUUCUUGCAAGGCACCCUCUUACUUUUAUUUUCUGGCACCUACCACAUUUUGUAAUGAGGCAUUGACUGGUAUGAGGGGCAGUAGAGCUAUCUCAUAGCUGUCUAAGAGUGAACUUGCAUCAAACUGCCUGGCUUGGAUUUCUGGGCAACUCACUGAUGAGCUCCGUGACCUUGGCUGAUUCUGUCUUCUGUGAAAGCAGGUGGAAAAGACGUUCUGCUGCAUUCCACAGAAGGGAAAACAGGCAUAUGGAGGGAAGUGACUCAGCCAGGUUCAUGGAUGGAGUCAGCCACCAAACCAGGAAUGGGGCUCUAUCCUCUGACUCUGAAACCACAGCCUUCACCACGGCAGUCACUCCUUUCCUCAAGAGGAAGCUUCAGGUCAUGCUCGCAGAUAUGGCCUUUGGACUCAACAGGUGCUGCUGGCAUUGGGCGAGGUUUUCUACCCCCGGCUCUUCCCACUCCAAUCCAGGAGACUACUCGGGCCUUCAAAUAUGGCUUUCAUGGUACAGCCCUUUCAAGGAAC
rnacentral:lncRNA from 1 species